UCCUUAUGAAGAGAAUGUAAGUUCAUCCCAGUGGGAUCACUGAAAAAGCUAAAAGCGGGGAAGGUGAACCGAAAGGCCCAUGCUUUGGACAUUCUGUUCCUAUGAAUCGUAUUUGCUUGGGAAAUUAAGCAGGAACAAGAGCAUUUUGGAAAACAUGCUUCAGUUUCACUUUCAAAACAGGAACAGAUUAAAAAUAAAAACAAGAGAGAGGAAACCAGCUGCGAUGACUAAAGUUUUUGCACCAGUUUGAUGAGGACGUGGUACCCGUCGUUUGGUGAAACACCAAUCUGUGUGCUGCUGUGAGGGUACUUUGUAGAUACUGUUAACACGUACAAUCUGUGUGCUGCUGUGCAGGAGUGAGAACCACAGUCUUAGCAACCAGGCCAGGUCUUCUGACCAACUUCACCAACCUGAAGUCAUCGAAGCUCCACUGGGGUUUCUCAGGUCAUACGGACACUGUAGGUGAAGAUACAGGUUGGAUUCAGCUCCAAGAGGACAUGUAUGACAAACUCAAGGGUGACGGAACAAACAGCACCUGUUUAGCACCAGAUGACUUGGGCAGACCGGAAGUCACGGAUUUAUAUCCUUCCAUAGGAGAACUCCUGCGCAAAAUGCAGUGGAUUGUGCAGGAAGAGGAAAGGAAUGGGGCUUGAACACAGGGAGAAACUGAGACCCACUCGAUUUGGGGGCCAGGUACACGUGUGCAGAGACAGCCUGCCUGGAAAAUGUGUCCAUGGCAGUGUGGCCGUGAGAGCAUCUUCACCUGCAUGGAAAGUGUGUCCACGGCAGUGUGACCGUGAGGGCAUCUUCACCUGCAUGGAAAGUGUGUCCACGGCAGUGUGGCCGUGAGAGCAUCUUCACCUGCCUGGAAAGUGUGUCCACGGCAAUGUGGCCGUGAGAACAUCUUCACCUGGAUAAAAAGUGUGUCCACGGCAGUGUGACCGUGAGGGCAUCUUCACCUGCAUGGAAAGUGUGUCCACGGCAGUGUGGCCGUGAGAGCAUCUUCACCUGCCUGGAAAGUGUGUCCACGGCAAUGUGGCCGUGAGAACAUCUUCACCUGGAUAAAAAGUGUGUCCAUGGCAGUGUGGCCGUGAGAGCAUCUUCACCUGGAUGGAAAGUGUGUCCACGGCAGUGUGACCGUGAGAGCAUCUUCACCUGCAUGGAAAGUGUGUCCACGGCAGUGUGGCCGUGAGGGCAUCUUCACCUGGAUGGAAAGUGUGUCCACGGCAGUGUGACCGUGAGGGUAUCUUCACCUGCAUGGAAAGUGUGUCCACGGCAGUGUGACCGUGAGGGCAUCUUCACCUGCAUGGAAAGUGUGUCCACGGCAGUGUGGCCAUGAGAACAUCUUCACCUGGAUAAAAAGUGUGUCCACGGCAGUGUGACCAUGAGGGCAUCUUCACCUGGAUGGAAAGUGUGUCCACGGCAGUGUGGCCGUGAGGGCAUCUUCACCUGGAUGGAAAGUGUGUCCACGGCAGUGUGACCGUGAGAACAUCUUCACCUGGAUGGAAAAUGUGUCCACGGGAGUGUGACCGUGAGAGCAUCUUCACCUGCAUGGAAAGUGUGUCCAUGGCUAUGUGGCUGUGAGAGCAUCUUUACCGGGUGCCAUUUGCAGAUGUUUUAGGAGCAACUGGACUUUGAUGGGGACUCUAAUUCAGUUAUAGGUCAGCGGUUCCUUGGCGAAGCAAUGGGGGGAGUGUCCAGGUUUCAUCCUAGAACAUAAUCAACUUUUCAGGGUGAGACCACGUGCAGCCACGUGCAGCCAGGCUCCCCGGUGACUGCGUCAACUGCCAGGCUUGAGCCUGACCUGGUCGCCAGGGAGCCAGAGCCCCAGCGGAUGUCACAGUGGCCUAAGCACAUCUCACUGGAACCCAUAAGCCUCAGGUGACAGGAGUUGGAAGUGACCCACCUGGCAUCCCAGUGCCAAGGGUGAGGGCAGAUAUGGGUAAUUAAAGAAAUGGCUGUUCCCUAUUUUAGUCACCAUUUUCUUCAUGGCUUCUCAGUUUUGCGUGUUUGACAAUGAACUCAGACAGCGCAGUAGAGCGUAGGGAGGGGAAGGGAUGACUGAGCUGCUGUCUUCCCAGGCCUCCGCUCUCCAGCUUCACCCUGUAGUUAUGGGACAGGGCUGGUGAUCUGCUCUCUCCGCAUCUGUUAGUGAGGCUUGUGGCCUAGUCCAGGGUCACUCCUGCCAGCAGUCAUAAGCCAGCCCCCUUCUGCCUCCGGCAGCAACAUGGCGGCAACAUCCCAGGCCUCUAAGUCCAUAAAUAAUAAACCACAAAGGCAGAUUUAAAAAAAAAAUGGCAAAACGAAUAUGAGUCUAUCAGCAAAGACUAGUUAGAGGUAAAACACGUGGAAAUAUUCCUGACCAAAACUAUAAAAUAUCCAGGAAUAAAUUUCACAGAAAAUGUGAAAGAUACAUGAAAUUUACUCCCCGGAAGGCCACCAGAAA
ensembl:lncRNA